GGCCUCUCCCCCGUGGUGCUGUGGGGUUCUCGUCUCCUCAGCCAGAGCUGGGGGCCAAGAUUAGUCUUCGAGGUCCUCGUUGGGGCUGCCAGGAGCUGGGUAGUCUUGUUUUCCUACCUCAGACAUGA
ensembl:scaRNA